AGAGUUUGAUCCUGGCUCAGAACGAACGCUGGCGGCGUGGAUAAGACAUGCAAGUCGAACGGGAUUCCUUUCGGUAGCAAUACUGAGAGGGAUUUAGUGGCGAACGGGUGCGUAACACGUGGGCAAUCUGCCGAGAAGUGGGGGAUAGCUCGCCGAAAGGCGAAUUAAUACCGCAUAUGAUCAGGGACGACAUCUUCCCAACAUCAAAGCCGGGGCAACCUGGCGCUUUUUGAGGAGCCCGCGGCCUAUCAGCUAGUUGGUGAGGUAACGGCCCACCAAGGCUAUGACGGGUAGCUGGUCUGAGAGGACGACCAGUCACACUGGAACUGAGACACGGUCCAGACACCUACGGGUGGCAGCAGUCGAGAAUUUUUCUCAAUGGGGGCAACCCUGAAGGAGCGACGCCGCGUGGAGGAUGAAGGCUUUCGGGUUGUAAACUCCUGUCAUUUGAGAACAAGGGUUAGCAAGUAACUACUGCUAGCUUGAUAGUAUCAGAAGAGGAAGGGACGGCUAACUCUGUGCCAGCAGCCGCGGUAAUACAGAGGUCCCAAGCGUUGUUCGGAUUCAUUGGGCGUAAAGGGUGCGUAGGUGGCGUCGUAAGUCAGGUGUGAAAUCUCGGGGCUUAACUCCGANACUGCAUUUGAUACUGCGGUGCUUGAGGACUGGAGAGG
rnacentral:rRNA from 1 species